GUGACUCUUCACUUCCUCUCAGUGGAAGUUAUGGACUGGUUUACAGGAGAGAGAGUCAUCGGGAAACAACAGCCAGGUCUGACCGUGGCAGUGAGUUUGCUCCUUGUCUUUGUGAUUGUACUCCUGGCAGCUGUAGUCUACACUCCUCGAGGUGUGAGGUGCUGCAGGAGAAGAAACAUGACUGAAGAGCACCUCUCACUCACUGACAGUAGAGUCUCAUGACAGUCUCCACACUUCAGCUUGUUUAUGAUGGACUUUUGUCACCAGUUCCCUCUUUUACAUCUAAACUUGGUUAUCUGGCUUCUGUGCAUGGAUAAAUGUGCACUCUGCAAAUGGAAAUAAUGGACUGCAGUCAACAAUGGACACAGUGGAAUCACUGUGGUGCUGUGUUGUGUUUCAUAAUUGCAUAUCACUGAAGGACACUUACAAAUAAAAUCGUACAGAGACAUUCUGAUUACCUCAGAGGACUGUGGGUCACUAAAAAAUCUCAAAGCUUUUGUUGUCAAAGCUAAGUGUCAGCAGUAUUUUCUGUAUUCAUUUUUAUAAAAAUGGAUUAAUCUUA